rnacentral:rRNA from 1 species
UCCAGACUCCUACGGGAGGCAGCAGUAGGGAAUUUUGCGCAAUGGGGGAAACCCUGACGCAGCAACACCGCGUGAAUGUUAAGCCCUUCGGGGUGUAAAGUUCUGUCAAUAGGGACGAAUUUUGACUGUACCUAUAAAGGAAGCACCGGCUAACUCCGUGCCAGCAGCCGCGGUAAUACGGAGGAUGCGAGCGUUAUCCGGAUUUAUUGGGUUUAAAGGGUGCGUAGGCGGACUGUUAAGUCAGCGGUAAAAGCCCGGGGCUCACCCCCGGCGAGCCGUUGAAACUGGCUGUCUUGAGAUGUCGAGAGGUAUGCGGAAUGCGCAGUGUAGCGGUGAAAUGCUUAGAUAUUGCGCAGAACUCCGAUUGCGAAGGCAGCAUACCGGCGGCGAUCUGACGCUGAGGCACGAAAGCGUGGGUAUCGAACAGGAUUAGAUACCCGCGUAAA